rnacentral:misc_RNA from 1 species
UCUUCAACUGUCUCGACCUCCGCAUCACCAGAAGCUCACGGCGCGCACCAGUACCAUUCCGUAGCCGAAGAAGUCGACAUCGCUGACCAUCUUCAUCGUGGUAUGGCCCACGAUCUUCCAAGUCGACCCGGUGGCCGACCGGUAGACAUCGCGUACGCGAGUUAUCGUAUUCACUUUUAAUAAUACAGUUUUUCCGGUUUCCAAUUUGAUUUUCCUUUGUCGCGGGGUGAAAUUAAUAAAUAAAUAAAUAAAUAAAUAGUGAGUGGCUGCCGGUGCGCGAAAAAGGUAUGGACAAAGCGUAUGAUUCGAAGAAAUGCCCUUCGUGCAAAGGGUGGUCGAGCCCAAGUACGUGAGCCGAACGAGCCUCUUCGACGAGGAUGGAAAACCGAAGAUUUCGGACGGAGAAUUGGAUGCCGUCACCAACAGCACUCUCAGCAACGCGCUCAGGCAGCUUGCGUCACUCGUCCUGGCCGCGAACGACAUCUUCACCGAGUUAACCAAGGACCUGCAGAAGAUCACCGAGAGAUCCCACAGUCUCAAGACCAAAAUCGAAAAAUUAGACCAGAAAGUUGCCACGUACGAUCCCAAGAAAGUUUCUGUUCCUGAAAGUGACAUCUCAACGUUCGCCCUACUGAAGAAUCAUUAUGCUAGACGUCAGCAAGUGGAUUCGAACCUGUUCAGCGUCACCACGCGUCCAAAUGCGGUCCAGGCGUUAUACGACGCGGCGGCCAAGACGCCGGUGCACGUCAUCCGUCAGAUGGACCGCUGGCGUCGGAACGGCACCCGUUCUUCCCGUUUCUUCGUCUGCACUCCCGUUCUGGGACAAAGGCGGAAAAAGAUCAAAGGGAAAAUCGACAUCGAAAUCGAAACCAGGAUGCCCGCUGCUGUCGAAGAGCUGCGACGAUGGACAUCCACGGAGGCGUUGGGUGACAUUACAGUCACUCCGGACUGUCCCAAUCGCAUUCCGCAAAGCGUUACGUAUCUCAGUGACGGAAAUGUCACAGACGGCACCUUGGUUUCUGACGACGACGGAAUCGACCACAAACUACCUUCACCCGAAGAACAGGUGCAAGCCAUUGCUCUCAAAUUUCCCGCCGAGAUGGUGGCAGUAGACAUUUCCGGUCGCAGAUUCUCACGCUUGUCCUCGCAGCGACGCUCUGUCCUUUACCGGUCGAGCGGCGCUUGUACCACCACCGAUGCAGGCGUCGUCGACGGAGCGUCGUCCUCGACGGCGACGCGCAGGCAGACGAGGUCACGAAGGUCACGUACGCGACGAAGAACAACACUCGCAGGAACCGACGAGAAAGAGAUCAAAAAUGCUCUUGAAGCAGGGGAAGGUCAAUCGACGAGUACGGCGGCUGCUCCGGAAGAAAUCGUUUCGUACGACAUACCUCCUCCGUUCCUCAGGAGCAAAAGCAGCGACAUCCUUCGAUCUUCCGUCAGAAGGUCGAUGGUGACCGAUAGCAAAAAGUCGCACUUCCAAACCCUCAAAGAAUGGGGCAGGAACAAGUUCAAAUUGUCGUCAUCGAGCAAAUCGCCGACUGAAAGUCGAAAGAACGAGUCGAACAAAGAAAACGAAAACGUCGAUUCAAACGUGUAUGAGACCAUAACGGUACGUAAAAGGCGCAGUUUGAAUAGAGAAAAGCGUCCAUCACACGAACGAAAUCCGUCGUACUCUUCUUCGGAAAAAUCGAGUGUCAGUAUUCCUAUAGCGAAACCCCUUUCGUCAGCCGUUGCCUUAGCCGUAAGACUUCGUGAUACUUCUUCUUCGCAAAGACGUUUCCGGAAGUCCUGUGAUAACAAAGACGAGCCGCGUUCGUCCAGCGGAAACUGGAGUGCGAGCUCGGAAAGCGGAAGGGCAUCAAUCGCUUCCGAAAUAACCACCCAUCCGAAAUCCACGACCUCCGCAGCCACAUCAAACAACUCCCUCAACCUCAAUCAUCCGCCCAACUCCUCCAACAGCACCAGGAAGUUUGCCAGCGUGUCAGCGUCGGACAGCGUGACCAGCGAGGGCACGCUAACUCCCGACAUCCACGACAUUCACGAAGACAUGGACAGUAGCUCCGUAUAUUCUUGCGAUACGGAAGGUUACUACACGUCUUUCCACAUGGACAGCGGUCUGAAGACGUUGAAGGAAGAAGAAACUCCAGUCAUGCCGUUCCACACGACUAGUGCCUUUUCUACUCCCGGAUCCCCAAGCGACGCUCUGUCUGCAGAGAGCGAGUACGAACUGUUCGGGAAGGGGUCCACAUCAACGACAGCCAGUUCCGCUGGCACCGUAUGUACAACACUGAAGGCUGGAGACAGCGACAAGUCCCUGUUCGUGGGUCCUUCCGUUCCAGAAAGGAAGAGCUCGUUGAGCAAAGGCAAGGAUAACGUCGCAGAAUCGAAGGAGAAAAACAACACAAUAAAGAGGAGUCCGGCUUCGAGCAAAGCGUCCGUUAUCGCAGUCAUUCACAAGCAAACCAACGGCGACAUAUCUCCUGAUAGCGGUCAUAACACCUCGAGCUCUCCUACUCAGUCUGCCAACAGUCCCAAUGGAGGUAGAAGUGGAUCGGAAUUUGAAUAUUCUGAAUGUUCAGACAUGGAAGGAGCCGACAGAAUCGAAAGGAUAAGAAGCAAAACUGCCAUCAACUCGAGCAGAAUACCGUCCAUGUGCGUUAUCACUCCUCCCCAUAGCGACGACGAGAGCGUCAAAAGCUUCUGGGAGAAGGGCCCUCCGGAGUAUAUAGACAAUAUGCCGUAUAUAAGUCUAAACGAUUUGAACGCUAAAAAUAUCAGCAGCACAACAAACAACUUUUCUCCUAAUCCCUCCGUUACUACUGGUUACGUUACUUUGGAAUCGCUGGAAGGAAUGAGAAAACCGAACGAAAUUCCUGUUUCUUCCCUAAACACUUUUAGGGCUCCAUCUCCAAGCGGCGGUUCGGUAACAAUAAAGAAAGACGAAGAGCCAAAAUCGAGUCCCGUGGAUCCCCAAGCCGCCCAAAACCAGCCACCUUUCAUAAAGGCGAGUCUCCUGCCGCUGAACGUAUUCGGAAAACUCAAACUCAACAUCCCCAACUUUUCUUCCAAAGUCGACAAGAAUGAGAACAAAGUGGACAACAAUUCCAACGAAUACGACGAAUACGUGACCAUCGCGGACAUCAGGAACAAUAAUGGGAAAAUAUCCAAAAGACCGCCGGUCCCAUCGUCAGACGCGUACAGCGAUACCAUAAGUAAGAAACUGAACGACGUUUUGACCAAUCGAAUUCGAGAAACGGAAUACGUGUCCUUGGACGAGCUUCCGUCCAAUCCAUCGCCAGAAAAAACCCACGAUUCCAACACGAGCCCGCUAGAAAAAAGGCACCAAGGCGCCAGGGUGACCCUAGACGCCGACGGCAAAGUGGUGUACAAUUCCGACAGUUUGAAACGUAAGAAAAGCGCGCACACGACGUUUCAACCUGGACCCUUCGUCAAAAGUCCUUCCGAAACCCCCGAACAAAGUCCUUUGAUCAACAGAAGAACCACCCCAAUAAGACCUGUACAACAACAAGGAAAUACAAGACCAAUGCCUCCCUCUCAAUACAUAAUUCACGCCCAAAGCGGAAUGGCAUCUCCUACUAUCACCAAGGAGGCCUUAAGGACACCCCUGUCGACGGUUAUCGCGCCUCCUUCCGCACGAUCCAUGUCACCAGGGAAAUCCACCACCAACAACAGGGGAGCAUACGUUCACAUGCAGAAAAAACCUUCGGAAAGUCUUACUACAAAAGGUAAGUCCUACACUACCACCGGAAAAGCAACCACCCUCAGUUCGAAAAUAGCCACCACCGCGAAUGCCUUGCCGAACAAAGUGAAACGAAGUAACAGUUACCGCCUGGCGAAUGCGUUGCCCUUUUCGGCGGCUCGAAGGGUCGCGGCGGGAUUUCGAAACGAGGGUGCCGCGUUAGACUUGGAAGAGAUCGUUGAGCUCGAGAUCGAAGCGGAACUCCUUCGAGAAAGCAUUAACUACCCUCCGACCGUGUCGCCGAAAACGUGCAAGAGGCAAUGCCCCUUGUAUUCGCAGGAGCAUGCGCGAGAACUGUUGCUCGCUUCCCCUAAUCGGGUCACCAUACCGGCGGACAGUUCGGAUUUUCGCGCAAGGGUUCUGUCAGUACCCAACGGCGACACCGAAAUUUGGUAAAGAAAGCGAAACCGAAUGUCUCGCGUAAGACUGUUAUUUUUUUUGUUUCCUGUGGCUAUUUUCCUAAUAUUUCCAACAAACAGUUAGUGACUAUUAUAUAUAUAGAAACAAAUAAACAACUGCCAACAAAAAAAAAACAACGGAAGGGCAAGUUCUUUCCACGAAUAUUCCAACGACGUCUGCACCACAACAAGACGUGAGGACGACGACUUUGCCACCGAGGAAGUCCAUGAA